GGGGACGGAUGGGGCACUGGUGGCCCCCACGGUCUUCAAAACCGUUCGCGUCCGCCUCGCGGCGGAUGGCUGGGUUCGAUUCCCAGACGUUCCCGCCA
rnacentral:tRNA from 1 species